UACGUAGGGUGCAAGCGUUAAUCGGAAUUACUGGGCGUAAAGCGUGCGCAGGCGGUUUUGUAAGUCUGACGUGAAAGCCCCGGGCUCAACCUGGGAAUUGCGUUGGAGACUGCAAGGCUUGAAUCUGGCAGAGGGGGGUAGAAUUCCACGUGUAGCAGUGAAAUGCGUAGAGAUGUGGAGGAACACCGAUGGCGAAGGCAGCCCCCUGGGUCAAGAUUGACGCUCAUGCACGAAAGCGUGGGGAGCAAACGGG
rnacentral:rRNA from 1 species